CGGUUACCUGUGGUCCAGGUAGAUCCUCGAGGGCAGGUGAACGGUAUUUAUCCCACUCCAGGCCCGCCCCUGGCGGCUGCAGACGCCCCUCGCCAGGGGAGCGGCGGAUCCGCAGAGCGCACCCACGUGGCAGGGCCGGGCGCGAGCGGGACCCAGGAGAUCGCGUUCCCGCGCAGCUGUGGGCGAUCAGAGCUGGGGGCCGCAGGCCGACGCCUUAGAAAACCUUCUCUCGCGUGUCCAGUCUUCGGCCUGAGUAGCUAGAUUCCGAGAAAUCGGAUAGGGUUUGGGGUCAGCGAAACUCAGAACGUGGUGGAACCGGGAUGGCGGCAUUGAUAAGGAAGCCAGGGUACAAGGAUAGGAGGAAACAUUCCCAUUUACAUAAAGGAAACUGAUAAUAUCCAGAGAGGUCCAUCCUUAAAAGCCUCAGAGAAACCAACUUGUAUUAGCCUAGUCUCAACAAGCUUCGGUAUAAAAGCACAGUGGAAUUCACUGCUGUGGGCUGGCACAACGCAGUGGACUGGGACAAACAGGAGGCAGUGGUCCUAACUUUUUUGUGCCACAGAUCAUUUUGGCAGCCUAAUAAAGCCAUAGACCCUUCUCCAAAUAAUAUAUAUGUGAAAUGAAAUCCAUCAUAUUUUAAAGUAAAACAUUUGAAAAUAUUAACAGAAAAACAAAAAUUUUAUAAGUAUACUUUCUUUUAAAAGGUAUAGAAAUGUGUAAUAGAAAACCAGGCAAUAGUUUUAUCUUAUUUGUUGAACCCCCUCCCCCAUGGGUACCAAACUCUGGAAAAUUGAAUAAUCCAAGUUGAUCAGAAUGAUUUAUUUCCCAAACGUCCUGGGUAAUUUAGGUUUUAUUGUAUCACAUUCAUUUAUUAUAUGCCUUUGUAAAUAAGAUGUGUGGAAGAAUUAAGAAAUGAAAAUAAUCAAGGAUGAAAGAAAUUUAAAUAUGCAAUAUUUAAAUUUUUAGAUAGGUUUUGAUAACAGCUCAAGUACUUACUGUGUGCUAAGGCUUUUAAACUCAUUAUCCCAUUGAAUCCCUAUUAUACAGAUGAAAAACUUCAGGUUAUAUAAGUAGUAAGUUGUAGAACCAGGAUUUGAAGUAGGCAGACAGUCCUCAAAGACAGACUUUUUUUUUUAAAGGAGAUUCUUGCUAAGUUGCCUAGGUGGGACUUUAACUUUUUGUCCUCUUGACUCAGCCUCCCUAAGUCCUAGGAUAACAGGUGUGGGCCACCAAGCCUGACCUCAAGGUCAGCACUCCUAACCACUAAGCUGUUUAUUUUUAGUCCUUUGACUGUUAGCCAAUAUUAAUUUUCCUGCUAGUGUAACAUAUACAUUUGCUAUCAAAAUAUUUUAUGUAUUCUGUGUAGAGCUGUACUCAGUGACUGAAAGGGAUUUUCCAAAGUCUUGCAGUGAUACUAAUUAUAUCCAGUAUUAUCUUUAAAUGGGCUACUAGUUGGGGCUGGAAAAUAGUUUUGUUUUACAGAAAUUUUUGUUGUAAUGGAGUUUGCAGAAAAGAUAAAAUCCACCCAUGUCUACUCCAGCCCUGCAAACAUACUUUCACGUUUGAAAUCUGAGCUUUUGUUUUGUAAGUGUCACUGUAUUUUUUAUAUUGACCAUUAUCAAGAUCAUAUACAAAGCAGGCAUGAUGCUGUGUACUUGUACUGCCAGCUUCUUGGGAGGCUGGGGCUAUGGAAGAUUUCUUGAGCCCAGGAGUUCAAGGCCAGCCUGGGCAACAUACUGAGACUUGGUCUCUUGAAAUUAAGAUAGCAUAAAAAAUUCAUUUAUAAAAUAAAGCCUACUAUAUGAAAUUCUAGAUUAUCCAUGUUUAGUGAGGCAAGUAAUGGUGUAAUCCCAAAUUCAGGUUUGUUUGGCACUCUAGAAGUGAAUUUUAUUGCUCAAGCAGACUUUCUGUUUAUUUGCUUGGUUGUAUUUGCGACAGUGGACUUAAACGUCUCGUAUUUUGCUGAGGUUACAAUCAAAAGGAACAUAGCCCAUAAGCAUUUUGAGGCCUUAUGAUAAAGCAGGCUAGGAUUAGCUGAAAUUUUUAAACAUUUUACAUAUUUGCAUUAGAGUGAGCCCACUUUACAGUUGCAGUUAAAGUUUUCAUUUUCAUUAUUUGAUUUAAUUUGGUUUACAAUGAUAAUGUCUGUCUACAGAAAGGAAAGUAGAUAUGUUUUUUUGUUUGUUUGUUUUUUGGUACUGGGGAUCAACUCGGAUCCUUGUGCUUAUGAGGCAGGAGGCAAAACCACUGAGCUAAAUCCCCGGCCCCUUGAUAUGUUUUUUUAUCAUGGAGGCCAGUCUGGGAGGGGUCCCUCCUGUGUAGGGACCUUCUGUGAUACAGCACACCCCCUAUUAAAGACUCACUUUGGUAUUCCUGUUAAAAAAUAGAAGAGCUGGAGCUGGGGAUAUAGCUCAGCACUCCCUCAAUUCAGUACCCAAUAACACAUGCAUUCACUCUCUAUGUAUAUAUCGUAUUUUCUUGCAUGAAUGUGUGUAAAGCCUGAUAAAAGACUAAGCUGGGUGUGAUGCACACACGUGUAAUCCCAGCAACUCUGGAGGCUAGGGCAGGAAAAUCACAAGUUCAAGGCCAGCUGGGGCAAUUUAGAGACCCCGUCUUUAAAAAAGGGCUGGGUAUGUAUCUCACCCUUCCAAGGUUCGAUCCCCAAUACUGAAAGAAAAAAAAAAUCAUGAAAAUUACUAUGAAAUUGGCAAAUAACUAAUCCACAAAGUAAGUGUCCCAGGGCCCUAAUAUUAUAAUAAUUUGAAUUUAGGGGUUCACUAAAGUAUAUUUGCAAGUAAAUAGAAUUAAUAUAAUUUUGAACUGUAAGUGCAAAUUAUUAAUAUAUCUAUUAAUUGUUAAUGUAUCUACAUUUUCAUGUCUCUUUGUAAAUUUGUAUUAGAAUUUUAUAACUUGCCUGGACCAUUAGGUCUAAUAUAAUGUAUACUAUCUUAUUAGUUUAAUUAAAUUGUAAAUGCUGUGUUCAAGAUUUUA